rnacentral:lncRNA from 1 species
GCCUGAACAAAUAUCGAUGCAUUUUCAAUUGGCAAAAAAUAAAAAUUAAACAACCACCACCAUAACAGAAAGUUAGUCAGCAUUUAAAAUACAGACAUACAUCUUAGAAAAGAAGCUGUCUUCACUCUUAGAUGACUACAGCUGUUUUAAGAUUUGCUUCUUUUAUGUGAAGUUUACAUAUGAAGAGAACAUUGUAUGUGCAUAAAUUACCCUACCAUCACUCUGGUUCUCUUUGCAAAUAAUGGCAAACCAAAUAGUUUAAGGGGAUGAUUUUAAAGUAUUUAUGUAGACAUGAAUUUUAAUGCAGAACUGGCUGCUUCCUUAAUCAUAAAUCACCAACUAUGUCAGUACUGACCAGUGAUUAAAACUCCAAGCAUAAAAGCCUUUAAAAGAUGAGAUAAAAGCACACACUUUAUUAGAAGUACCUAAGACCAUCAAUUCAUAAUCUGAAAAAGUGCUUGAAUUUGAUAAAAGGAAGCACAAUUAAACUAGUGACUAGACCAGAAAGUCUGCAGUUAGUUUACUAGAGUAACAAGCUGAUAAAUGCCAAGUAGUGUUCAUUAUGUAGGUUUAUGUGAUGUUUGAAAAGGAUGGUAACACAAGAUUAAUUUAGGAAUAAAUCAGUCAUUUGGGAGCAAAGCUGGGGGAAAGCAGUGAUGCUGUUUCUCUAUUUCUAAGCAAUAAGAAAAAAUGGACAGGGACAAGAGGUGCCAAGAAAUAUUGUCAGUGGGCCAACGCAGCUCAAGCAAGAAGCAGAAAGAGAUACAAUAGAUAUGCUGAUAUCACACAUGUUUUUUUGUCUGUUUGUUUUUUGUUUUUGUUUUUUACACAUUCCUGGAACUGAACUCACACCACUGGAGGACAUCAGUACUUCCUACAUUAGAGCAAUGUAAGCACUGAGUGUUGCCUGUACUUCCUUCUCUGUGGCAAAGUUUGUAACUAAGAGAGACUGUGGAAAGCAUGGUUAUCUUAUAUCAGCAACUUCAAAACUGAAAGGAAACAAAAAACAACCUACAAGAACAGGUCUGCCAAUUUCAAGAACAAAAUUCUCAUUUGGUUUCAAUGGAUCCUUGUUUUCACUUCACUGUGAAAAGAAAGACUUCAAAGAACAUCACAUUAUUUGCAAACUUCAGCCUUUGGCAAUGAAUCAACAUACUACUGAGAGAAGACUUUCUCAGUCCAUGCAUUUAUUUCUGAACCAGCAAUAUGAGAAAAAUAACUACUUAGACUUGUAAUUAUAUGCUUAUAAACUUAUAACUUUAUAAGGAUAUAAAAUGUGCCUUAGCCCACCUUAACCAAUCAUUUCUUCUUAGCUUAAUGAAGACAUUAUGAAACACUUGUUUCACGUCCUGAAAUUUUCUAGUAUGUCAUGUUAAUUCAAGCCCUCCUCAGUUUCCCUGUUUACAAAAGAUAAUUUUUAUCAGCUUUGUGGGGUAUUGCUGCAAGUUCAAACCAUUGAGCAGUCAAAAACUGAGAGUCCUACAGAGUCAUCAGUCCUGCAGGAGGAAGCAAUACAGGCAGCUGAUGAGUUAUGCCCUGGUAAGUUCAUGAUUUUGAGGAAUAUGGGCCCAGCAAAGAGUAAAGUCAGGACCAUUAACUUUCAGGAAAGCAUAAUUUCAGUUGUUUGAAGAAUUAGUGGCUGAAAUCCCCAGGGAAAUUGUCCUUAGGGAUAAGGAAACUGAUUAGAGUUGGCAGCUCUUUAAAGACUCUUCUUAAAGAGCACAAGAGUACAUUAGCUAAAAAAAAGAAAGACUAAAGAGAGUGCACCCCUCUCUGAUAAACAAGGUGGGAGAACUGGUGACAACAGACAUGGAAAAGACUGAGGUUCUCAAAAAAAAAAAAAAAAAAAAAAAAAAAGUGCCUCAGUCUUCACUGGCAAUCACUCUUCCCAUGUCUCUCAAGUCCAUGAACCUCAAGACAGGGACUGAGGGAGUGAAGUCCCUGCCACUGACUGAAGAUAAGUUUUGAGACCCCUCGAGGAACCUGAACAUCCAUAAAUUUACGGGGCCUGAUGAAAUUUGUUCCAAUGUCCUGAGGGAACAUGCUGAUGUACUUGCCAAGCCUCUCUCCAUCAUAUUUGAAAAGACAGGGCAGACAGGUGAAGUCUCUGGAGGGUGGGAAAAGGGAAACAUGAUAUCUAUUUUUUAAAAGGGGAAAAAAGAAGACCCUGGGAACUACAGACUAAUCAGCCUCACUUCUGCCUGGGAAUAUCACAGAACAGAUCCUUAGAGAAACCAUGUUAAGGUAUAUAGAAGAUAAGGAGACAAUUUAAGACAGCUCACAUGGCUUCACCAAGGGCAAAUCAUGCCUGACCAAUCUUGUGGCGUUCUAUCAUUGAGUAACUGCAUGCAUCAACAAGAGAAGACCAACUGAUAUCAUCAAAGGCUCAAAGGCCUUUGACACAGUCCCACACAACAUCCUUCUCUGGAUACGGGAGUGGCUGGAUGGCUGCAGCCAGAGAGUUGCGGUCAACAGUUCCAUAUCCAGGUGGAAGCCGGUGAUGAGUGGUGUCCUUCAAAGGCCCAUCUGGGAACCAGUGAUGUUUAACAUCUUUAUUAAUGACAUAGAAGUGGGAUUGAGUGCACCCUCAACAAGUUUGCAGAUGACACCAAGCUGAAUGGCACCAGAAGGAAUGGAUGCCAUCCAGAGGGACCUAGACAAGCCUGAGAGGUGGGACCACAUGAAUCUCACAAAGUUUAAAUAGUCCAAGUGCAAUAUGCACAUGGGUCAGGGAAAUCCCAAAUAUCUCUGCAGACUGGAGAAGGCAAGAUUGAAAGCAGCCCAGCAGAGAAGGAAUUGGGGAUACUGGUGGACAAAAAAUUGGAUAUAAGGCAGCAGUGUGCACUUGUAGCCCAGAAGGCCAGCUGUAUCCUGGGCUGCAUCCACAGAGCAUGAUCCACAGGUCAAGGGAAGUGAUUCUCCCCCUGUAUUCCACUUUUGUGGGAUGAUCAGAGGGCUGGAGCACCUCUAUUUUGAAGACAGGCUUAGUGAGCUGGGGUUGUUCAGCCAAGAGAAGGCUCUGGGGAGACAUUACAGUUGGCUUCCAGUACUUUAAAAGUAUGCCUACAUGAAAGAUGAGGAGUGAUUCUUUAUCAGGAAGUGUAACAACAGAAAAAGGGGUAAUGGCUUUAAACUGAAAGAUGGUAGAUUUCAAUUUGACAUUGUGAAUAAAUUCUUUACUCAGAGCGUGGUGAAAUAGGUU